GACGAACGCUGGCGGCGUGCCUAAUACAUGCAAGUAGAACGCUGAAGAGAGGAGCUUGCUCUUCUUGGAUGAGUUGCGAACGGGUGAGUAACGCGUAGGUAACCUGCCUUGUAGCGGGGGAUAACUAUUGGAAACGAUAGCUAAUACCGCAUAACAAUGGAUGACACAUGUCAUUUAUUUGAAAGGGGCAAUUGCUCCACUACAAGAUGGACCUGCGUUGUAUUAGCUAGUAGGUGAGGUAACGGCUCACCUAGGCGACGAUACAUAGCCGACCUGAGAGGGUGAUCGGCCACACUGGGACUGGGACACCGCCCAGACUCCUUCGGGAGGCAGCCGUAGGGGAUCUUCGGCAAUGGGGGCAACCCUGACCGGGCAACGCCGCGUGAGUGGAGAAGGUUUUCGGAUCGUAAAGCUCUGUUGUAAGUCAAGAACGAGUGUGAGAGUGGAAAGUUCACACUGUGACGGUAGCUUACCAGAAAGGGACGGCUAACUACGUG
rnacentral:rRNA from 1 species